rnacentral:misc_RNA from 1 species
GGGGAAGCGGUUGGGCAUGGGGCCUCUCAGCAAAACUUUGACUUCUUGAAACAUGUUUGGAAGGUGAUGGAGAUCUUGAUUCGGCUCGAGAUUGAGAACCUUUCUCUGAAACUGUGUCACUGCAACGUCUUCGAGAACCUCCUGAUCUGCCAUUUAUUUUAUUCUCAGUUGGACUCUUAAAUUUUCUGUGUAACGUGUCAAUGAAACUUUCCUUGCUUGCUUUCUUCUUCACUUCUUUAGAUGAUGAUUUACCCCACCAUGAAGGCAUGCUUUCUGAAUUUUAAGACUUACAGAACUGUAGGACAAUUUCUCCUAAAGUAAUCCCAUUUCCAAUAUCAAAAAC